UGAACACGAACACCGCGAUGACGGCGACCAGGAGCGCGAUCAUGGCCGUGCUGACCUGGCCCUGGCCGCCGUCAUCGUAGCUCGGCUGCGCGCUGGCUGCGCCGACCGCGGACACGAGGAGCGCGGCGAGCAGCGCUUGGCCGUGGCGAGCCAUGGGCGUCCUUGCGCGCGGCAGGCGGCAGUGCAGACGGCAGAGAGAGGCGAGGGCCCGGGAGACGAGAGCGGGUUGACUAGCCUGACGGUGCAGCAGGCAGUGUGGAACUAUAUAGACGGGGAGGAGGAGUUUGAGCCAAAAAGGUCAGGAUCCCGCGGGCCGCGGCGCUCGGCGGGUCUCGCGGAAGGAAGCCGCCGGCAGGUGUUCAGCUCAGCAGCCGCGAUCGGGGAGGGCCUGGAACGUUUUUUGCACGCUG
rnacentral:misc_RNA from 1 species